GACGAACGCUGGCGGCGUGCUUAACACAUGCAAGUCGAGCGGUAAGGCCCUUUCGGGGUACGACGAGCGGCGAACGGGUGAGUAACACGUGGGUGACCUGCCCUCAGCUCUGGGAUAAGCCUGGGAAACCGGGUCUAAUACCGGAUAUGACUCCAUGACGCAUGUUGUGGGGUGGAAAGCCUUGUGCGGCUGAGGAUGGGCCCGCGGCCUAUCAGCUUGUUGGUGGGGUGAGGCCUACCAAGGCGACGACGGGUAGCCGGCCUGAGAGGGCGACCGGCCACACUGGGACUGAGACACGGCCCAGACUCCUACGGGAGGCAGCAGUGGGGAAUUGUUCGCAAUGGGCGCAAGCCUGACGACGCAACGCCGCGUGGAGGAUGAAGGUCUUCGGAUUGUAAACUCCUGUUGCCCGGGACGAAUGGCUCCGACCUAACACGUCGGAGUGUGACGGUACCGGGUGAGGAA
rnacentral:rRNA from 1 species